rnacentral:rRNA from 1 species
UACAGAGGUCCCAAGCGUUGUUCGGAUUCACUGGGCGUAAAGGGUGCGUAGGUGGUGGGGUAAGUCGGAUGUGAAAGCUCGGAGCUCAACUCCGAAAUGGCAUUGGAACCUACCCUGCUAGAGGAUUGGAGGGGGGACUGGAAUACUUGGUGUAGCAGUGAAAUGCGUAGAUAUCAAGUGGACCACCAGUGGCGAAGGCGAGUCCCUGGACAAUACCUGACACUGAGGCACGAAAGCUAGGGGAGCAAACAGG